AACACGUAAAGAACCUGCCCUCAGGUCUGGGAUAACCACGAGAAAUCGGGGCUAAUACCGGAUGGGUCAUCGGACCGCAUGGUCCGAGGAUGAAAGGCGCUUCGGCGUCGCCUGGGGAUGGCUUUGCGGUGCAUUAGCUAGUUGGUGGGGUAAUGGCCCACCAAGGCGACGAUGCAUAGCCGACCUGAGAGGGUGAUCGGCCACACUGGGACUGAGACACGGCCCAGACUCCUACGGGAGGCAGCAGUAGGGAAUCUUCCACAAUGGACGAAAGUCUGAUGGAGCAACGCCGCGUGAACGAUGAAGGCCUUCGGGUCGUAAAGUUCUGUUGUAAGGGAAGAACAAGUGCCGCAGGCAAUGGCGGCACCUUGACGGUACCUUGCGAGAAAGCCACGGCUAACUACGUGCCAGCAGCCGCGGUAAUACGUAGGUGGCAAGCGUUGUCCGGAGUUAUUGGGCGUAAAGCGCGCGCAGGCGGCCUCUUAAGUCUGAUGUGAAAGCCCCCGGCUCAACCGGGGAGGGCCAUUGGAAACUGGGAGGCUUGAGUAUAGGAGAGAAGAGUGGAAUUCCACGUGUAGCGGUGAAAUGCGUAGAGAUGUGGAGG
rnacentral:rRNA from 1 species